AUUGAACGCUGGCGGCAAGCCUAACAAAUGCAAGUCGAACGAGUGGCGGACGGGUGAGUAAUGUCUGGGAAACUGCCUGAUGGAGGGGGAUAACUACUGGAAACGGUAGCUAAUACCGCAUACCAUCGGAUGUGCCCAGAUGGGAUUAGCUAGUAGGGGGGGUAAAGGCUCACAUAGGCGACGAUCCCUAGCUGGUCUGAGAGGAGGACCAGCCACACUGGAACUGAGCCACGGUCCAUACGCCUACGGGAGGCAGCAGUGGGGAAUAUGGCACAAUGGGCGCAAGCCUGAUGCAGCCAUGCCGCGUUGAUGAAGAAGGCCGUCGGGUUGUAAAGUACUUUCAGCGGGGAGGCGUUACCCGCAGAAGAAGCACCGGCUAACUCCGUGCCAGCAGCCGCGGUAAUUC
rnacentral:rRNA from 1 species